AUAUAUAUAUAUAUAUAUAUAUGCCAUGGCUACUAUACUAUUAUGAGUAUUGGAGCCCUCGUACUCAUAAGUUGUUUUCAAUGAUGGAGCUUCCGAAUCGACGAUCCACUUCGUUAAAUAUGAUCUAGAGCAUUUGAAACUUCUAGAAAAUAAAUUUCGUAAAUUUUCGAAAUCAUAAUAAAGUCCAUCAAGUGGGUAUAAAAUGAACGGUCAAAUCGAACGACGUCCUAAAAAGGUACCUUAAGAUAUAUAUAUAUAUAUAUAUGUAUAUAUAUAUAUAUAUAUAUAUAAAACAUAAAAGUAAUUGAGAAUAUAUU
rnacentral:lncRNA from 1 species